rnacentral:lncRNA from 1 species
CCUGUAUAAAGUUCACUUGUGGCUGUGACGUCUCUCUUUUAAUUGAAUAAUGGCAGCACCGUCGGGGGGAUUUUGGUCACUUUCAGAUCUCUCACAUGGGAUGCUAUAUCUUUUUUUUAACGGGAUGGGAUGCUAUAUCUGUCAUCAAAAAACCAAAAUAAUCAGGUUGCUUGUUUACAACAAUUUAGGAUCAGAGGGAGUAGCUUCUUUAUUUCCAGACAUUUUUUUCUAUCAUUUUGUAUCAGGUGGUCCAUAACCUAG